UACGUAGGGUGCAAGCGUUAUCCGGAAUUAUUGGGCGUAAAGAGCUCGUAGGCGGUUUGUCACGUCUGCUGUGAAAACUGGAGGCUCAACCUCCAGCCUGCAGUGGGUACGGGCAGACUAGAGUGCGGUAGGGGAGAUUGGAAUUCCUGGUGUAGCGGUUGGAAUGCGCAGAUAUCAGGAGGAACACCGAUGGCGAAGGCAGAUCUCUGGGCCGUAACUGACGCUGAGGAGCGAAAAGCAUGGGGGAGCGAACAGG
rnacentral:rRNA from 1 species